GGGGCCAUAGCUCAGUUGGGAGAGCGCCUGCAUGGCAUGCAGGAGGUCGUCGGUUCAAGCCCGUCUGGCUCCA
rnacentral:tRNA from 1 species